UCCCUUAGUAGCGGCGAGCGAACAGGGAAGAGCCCAGCGCCGAAUUCCGCGUCUCAAAGGGCGUUUGGAACAUGUGGCGUUUAGGAGGAAUCUCUCCGAGGGCAGACGGUGUCGCAAGUCCCCCUGAACGGGGCUGUGAUCCAGAGCGGGUGCGAGGCCCAUAGCUGGUACCGUCUCCUUCGGGUGUCCCCUCCUUGGAGUCGGGUUGCUUGGGAGUGCAGCCCUAAUUGGGUGGUAAACUCCACCUAAGGCUAAAUACGUCCGUGAGACCGAUAGCAAACAAGUACCGUGAGGGAAAGUUGCAAAGAACUUUGAAGAGAGAGUUCAAGAGUACGUGAAACCGCUCAGAGGCAAACGGGUGGGCCCACGAAAGCCGAAGGCGGGGGGAUUCAGUCGAGAGGACGGUGGGGCAGGACAGGCUGGUUGGACGGACCGUGCCAGGCCGGGUCAGUUCCCGAGAUCUGCCGCCUUUCGACGCAUUUCCCCCUGCUUAGUAGGACGCCGCAACCGGUUGGCGCUGCAGCCAUAAGGGAGAGUAAAUGGAAGGUAGCCAGUGAGUUCUUCUUCGGAGGCGCGAGCUGGUCCUAAGCCGACUCUCCUGGUGCUUGUGGCCCGACCGUGGUCGUGAGUCCCUCAACGGGAUGUCGCCGAGCCCUCUGACUGGAGCGGGAGAAGUGGCAGGCUGCUUUCCGCGGAAAAAAUCGAUCGCUUCACGCGUGCAGUGGGCGAUCUCCGGAGGUAGCUGCUGGUGCGUUUUUCUCCUGCGCUGGGCACAGGCAGUUGGCGGCGAGUAGGUCGGUCACCCACCCGACCCGUCUUGAAACACGGACCAAGGAGUCUAACAUGUGCGCGAGUCAUUGGGUCUUGAACAAGCCCAAAGGCGCAAUGAAAGUGAAGACCAGCACUGAAGCUGGUGGAGUUGGGAAACUGUGUCACUGAAGAUGCAGUUGCACCAACGGCCCGUCCCGUCCGCAUCGUCGGUGGGGCGGAGCGAGAGCGUACACGUUGGGACCCGAAAGAUGGUGAACUAUGCCUGGGCAGGACGAAGCCAGAGGAAACUCUGGUGGAGGUCCG
rnacentral:rRNA from 1 species